rnacentral:rRNA from 1 species
AGCGAACGUUAGCGGCGCGCCUAACACAUGCAAGUCGCACGAGAAAGGGAGCAAUCCCCGGUACAGUGGCGCACGGGUGAGUAACACGUAGAUGACCUUCCCUGGAGGUGGUGGAUAACCUGCCGAAAGGCGGGCUAAUACAGCAUGGGACCACAUGGUUUUGACCGGAGUGGUGAAAGCGGGCCUCUGUUCACAAGCUCGCGCUCUGGGAUGGGUCUGCGUCCCAUCAGCUAGUUGGUGAGGUAAUGGCUCACCAAGGGCAUCGACGGGUAGCUGGUCUGAGAGGAUGACCAGCCACACUGGAACUGAGACACGGUCCAGACUCC